ACGGCUCAGUAACACGUGGACAACCUACCCUGAGGUCGGGGAUAAACCCGGGAAACUGGGUAUAAUACCCGAUAGAUCUAGAUCGCUGGAAUGCUUUUAGGUCUAAAGUUCCGACGCCUCAGGAUGGGUCUGCGGCCUAUCAGGGUAGUAGUGGGUGUAAAGUACCUACUAGCCUACGACGGGUACGGGUUGUGAGAGCAAGAGCCCGGAGAUGGAUUCUGAGACACGAAUCCAGGCCCUACGGGGUGCAGCAGGCGCGAAACCUUUACAAUGCUGGCAACAGCGAUAAGGGGACCUCGAGUGCUACGAUACAAUCGUGGCUGUCUAGUUGCCUAAAAAGCAAUUGAUAGCAAGGGCUGGGCAAGACCGGUGCCAGCCGCCGCGGUAACACCGGCGGCUCGAGUGGUAACCGCUAUUAUUGGGUCUAAAGGGUCUGUAGCCGGCUUAGUUAGUCUCUUGAGAAAUCUGGCCGCUCAACGGUCAGGCGUUCAGGGGAUACUGCUAAAGCUCGAGACCGGGAGAGGUGAGAGGUACUUCAGGGGUAGGGGUGAAAUCUUGUAAUCCUUGAAGGACCACCAGUGGCGAAGGCGUCUCACCAGAACGGAUCUGACGGCAAGGGACGAAAGCUAGGGGCACGAACCGGAUUAGAUACCCGGGUAGUCCUAGCCGUAAACGAUACUCGCUAGGUGUCGGCCACGGUGCGACCGUGGUCGGUGCCGUAGGGAAGCCGUGAAGCGAGCCACCUGGGAAGUACGGCCGCAAGGCUGAAACUUAAAGGAAUUGGCGGGGGAGCAC
rnacentral:rRNA from 1 species